rnacentral:rRNA from 1 species
UACGGGGGGCGCAAGCGUUGUUCGGAUUUACUGGGCGUAAAGGGCGGGUAGGCGGCCACCGCAAGUCAGUUGUGAAAUCUCCGGGCUUAACUCGGAACGGUCAAGUGAUACUGUCGGGCUAGAGUACAGAAGGGGCAACUGGAAUUCUCGGUGUAGCGGUGAAAUGCGUAGAUAUCGAGAGGAACACCUGCGGCGAAGGCGGGUUGCUGGGCUGAUACUGACGCUGAUGCGCGAAAGCCAGGGGAGCGAACGGG